rnacentral:rRNA from 1 species
GAAGCGGGGACGCAGAAAGCUAGGUGCGCCGGGUGAUGGAAGUCCCGGUUCAAGGUCGUAGGGGGGUUACGUAGGCAAGACCGCGUGGCCAUAACCCUGAGAGCCGAGUGGGAGCCCCCACGGGGGCGAAGGCAUUGACGCUCAGCUGCCAAGAAAAGCCGCUAGGGAGGAUCUGGAGCGCCCGUACUGUAAACCGACACAGGUGGGCUGGCUGAGAAGGCUAAGGCGGACGGGAGAACCCUCCUUAAGGAACUCUGCAAGUUGACCCCGUAACUUCGGGAGAAGGGGUGCCACCCUGGUGAAGCGUAUGACAUGUGGAGCUAAGGGUGGUCGCAGAUACCAGCCCCAGGCGACUGUUUACUAAAAACACAGGACUCUGCAUAAGCCGUAAGGCGACGUAUAGGGUCUGACGCCUGCCCGGUGCUGGAAGGUUAAGGGGAUCGGUUAGUGAGGGGAGACUCUUGCGAAGCUGUGAACUGAAGCCCCAGUAAACGGCGGCCGUAACAAUAACGGUCCUAAGGUAGCGAAAUUCCUUGUCGGGUAAGUUCCGACCUGCACGAAAGGCGUAACGAUCUGGGCGCUGUCUCGAAGGGGGACCCGGCGAAAUUGUGGUACUGGUCGAGACGCCAGUUACCCGUGGUGGGACGGAAAGACCCCGUGGAGCUUUACUGUAUCUUGAUAUUGGAUUUCGGUAAGUCAUGUACAGUAUAGGUGGGAGACUUAGAAGGCAGGGCGCUAGCUUUGCUGGAGUCGUCGUUGGGAUACCACCCUUGACGUACUGGGGUUCUAACCGUCAGGUCUGAAUCGGCCGACGGGACAUUGUCAGGUGGGCAGUUUGACUGGGGCGGUCGCCUCCUAAAGAGUAACGGAGGCGCGCGAAGGUUACCUCAGGGCGAAUGGAAAUCGCCUUUAGAGCGCAAGGGUAUAAGGUAGCCUGACUGUGAGACAGACAUGUCGAACAGGAGCGAAAGCUGGCCUAGUGAUCCGGCGGUGCUGAGUGGAAAGGCCGUCGCUCAUCGGAUAAAAGCUACCCCGGGGAUAACAGGCUGAUCUCCCCCGAGAGUUCCCAUCGACGGGGAGGUUUGGCACCUCGAUGUCGGCUCAUCGCAUCCUGGGGCUGGAGAAGGUCCCAAGGGUUGGUCUGUUCGCCCAUUAAAGCGGUACGUGAGCUGGGUUUAGAACGUCGUGAGACAGUUCAGUCCCUAUCCACCAUGGGCGUAGGGUAUUUGAGGGGAGCUGCUCCUAGUACGAGAGGACCGGAGUGGACGCACCGCUAGUGUACCGGUUGUCGCGCCAGCGGCAUAAGCCGGGUAGCCAUGUGCGGAUCGGAUAACCGCUGAAGGCAUCUAAGUGGGAAACCGACCCCAAGAUGAGAUACCCCACUGGGAAGCCAGGUAAGGUGUCCUGUAGACUACAGGGUUGAUAGGCCGGGGGUGUAAGCGUUGAGAGGCGUUGAGCCGACCGGUACUAAUACACCGAGGCCUUGACCUC